rnacentral:rRNA from 1 species
UACAGAGGUCUCGAGCGUUAGGCGGAAUCACUGGGCUUAAAGCGUGUGUAGGCGGAUCGGUAAGUACCUUGUGAAAUCCCCGGGCUUAACCUGGGAAUGGCAUUGGUGACUGCACGGCUAGAGUGUGUCAGAGGGGGGUAGAAUUCCACGUGUAGCAGUGAAAUGCGUAGAGAUGUGGAGGAAUACCGAUGGCGAAGGCAGCCCCCUGGGAUAACACUGACGCUCAUGCACGAAAGCGUGGGGAGCAAACAGG